rnacentral:rRNA from 1 species
UACGUAGGGCGCAAGCGUUGUCCGGAAUUAUUGGGCGUAAAGGGCUCGUAGGCGGUUUGUCGCGUCGGGAGUGAAAUCCAUUGGCUUAGCUGGUGGCUUGCUUUCGAUACGGGCAGACUGGAGGUAUGCAGGGGAGAACGGAAUUCCUGGUGUAGCGGUGAAAUGCGCAGAUAUCAGGAGGAACACCGGUGGCGAAGGCGGUUCUCUGGGCAUGUCCUGACGCUGAGGAGCGAAAGUGUGGGGAGCGAACAGG